UCAGAUUGCAGCUCUUCUCAGAGGGAUUUUGUGCUUUUGGGAAGCACUAAAUGGCCUGCUUCUUCAAAUGCAAAACUCCAGAGCUCUUGGUGCUGAGAUGAUCCCUGUUAUGAGACCAACCAGAAAUCGCGCAAAAAAAAAAUAAAAAAAUCUUUUUCGGCAAGCUUUGGGGCACGCACGCUUUUUCCCUUCUUCAGGCUCGGGGAAAAUUUAAAGAUGGUAAAAGGUCUCCAUAGGUAGAAAAUAAACUUGUAAAUGGUAUUUAAAGAAGCAUUUAAACAACAGGCUGGAGGGGUGUGCGUGCGCUUGGGAGAGAUGAAGAUGCAUGUCUGCAGGGGAGACUCUUGUGUGGACCCUUCUCUGUUUCCUCUGUGAAGUGUCUGUAACUUGAGCACAGGCUCCCCUGACCCCUUUGUGCCUCUGUUUCCUUGGACACCAGAGGCAGGAAAUAACUAGUACCAAACACAACACACUGCAGCCGGACUCCAGCCUCCUGCUCCAGGGCCAGGGCCCUCUGCCUGGGAUCAUGAAGGAUCUACUGACCACACGAGACCAGGAUCGCUGGAAGGAGUUGAUUGAGAAGGAGUUAUUCAGUAGAGUCGGCUGGAACACCAAAUACGGGCACAAAUUUCCCAGGCUCCAGCCCUGCAGUGGUCCCAAGAGGAAAUGCUUUCUGCCGACUAUCUUCUCCCCCAGGGAGCAGGAGGAAGGGACCAGUCCCUUCAGGAAUCAGGGGGAGGGAACUGGUUUCAAGAAAAAUGGGAUAAGCUAUCAAGAGAGGCAGCCAAAGGAUGUUGGCCUUCCCAGGAAGCAGGAAGAGAGGGUUCAGGAGCCCCUUCUUCCAGAGAUGAGACCUGCAUCCCCAGGAACAAUGCGUCUGCUGUACCAGGGCAUAUCCCGGGAGGGCAAAGGCAGGCACCUGUAUCUGCAGGAGAGAAAGCAGAAGAGCCCAGAGGAUAAAUUCUCUUAUCCAAUGCUGUCAUCCUGGGAGUAUGGCUGGCGCUUAGGAGGUGUCAUUACAGAAGGCAAGGCUCCAGCGCAUGCCAAGUCUAGAAUUGUAAGGGAUACUUUCUACAUCAAGAAUGGAAUCUUCCACCAUCCAUCAAAAAGUGACAAGUUAUCGUGAGCUUUGAUGUUUGCUGUGUGUAUUAGUAAUGCAGAACUGUGGGCUUGUUGCCUAGCAGGGCUGUUUGUUUUUAAGUCAAGUUAUGCAAACUCAGUAACGAUUUCCCUCUUUAAUUGCCCAUUCUAUGGGAAAGAAGUUUUAAGGUUUCUUACUCAGACCCUCCUCUACUUACUACAUAAUUUAACUUUCAAACUUAUUUUAAAUGCACUUUUUGGACUUACUUGCAUGUGCCAGAUAAACUGUCUCUUGGUUUGAUACGAAACCAUAGGUUUUCCUGUGCUGCUUUGUUUUUAUUUGUCCUUUUUAAAGACUCUACAAAUUAAUGAGUCUAGAGGUUACUUGUGUGGAGCUAAACAACAGGCACCGAGUCGAACAACACUCAUUCAGGGAAAGACGUAAUACAUUUGUAGGUAGUAAAAUGUAUAAAAAUGGUACUUCUAAACUAAAUAUUCUGUCAUUUUAUAUAGUAUCUAAUAACCUCAGGCUUUCACUGCAAUUUGGUAGUCACUUGAAGUCUCCUUUAAUGUCUUUCCAGGGCUAUAAAUUACUAGAGAACCUAACUAUUAUGGGGUCUCCAAAGAUCAGUAGCUUCUAAAACAACACCAUAUUUUACCCUUAAAUGACUCGGAUGUAAACAUGGGAGUCUGAAACCAUGAGUUUUCAUCUCUUUCUGGUACUUACUAGCUCAAAAUUGGAAAGAAAUUUACUUAACUGUUAUAUCUGUGUUUGUGAAAGCACUUGAGGAAUGAAACAUGGUUAACUCUUUUUAACACAGCAUCUGAUGAAGUAAACCUACAAAAGCUUAUGGUGUAUAUCUCUGAUUUAAUUGGUCUGUAAUGUGCCAAUCUACUCUGCCUUGUGCCCAGCUCUUUUUUGUCAUUAAAAUCAGUCUCCCUCAGAAGCCUUCAUUUUUUUUUUUUUAAAUCAAUGCCUUUCAACAGUUCAUGAAAUUUCUUUUACCUUUUUCACCUUUUCUUCGGCUUCUUUCGUGAUUCCAGCCUUCAUAUAGCCAUCUUAUCCUGUGCUCUUCCCUGCACAAGAAGAGGGGCCAGAGAGCUCCCAGGGUGGCGCAAAAAAUGAUACAGAGGAGAGGGCCCAAGUCAUAGCGAAGGCUACUUUGGGUUGCGUUAGCUCUACACUGGUUUUGUGCUUAGCAUGUUUGAAGUCAGCCAAGGGUAUUGUACAAGGCCACUCAUUUCUUGCCCCAUACCUAGGUCUUCCCACACCUCCUCAUACUCCUCGUGCUCCUUAUACCUUCUGGGUGCCACCGGAGGAGGAGGGUAUGCUGAUGCUAUAAAAUUGGCAUCCUCAGCCCUUUCCUUGCCUACACUCCUUCUAUAUCCACCCCAGUCAGAUUUACUAGGCCUGGAUCACUUUGUCACUGUCUUGGGCAGUCAGCCCUCAAGUUAUUUCAAUCCUUGUUUAUUGGUGAUAUAGACUUAUGAUUUAGAAGUGAUGAUUGGUGAUAUAGACUUAUGUACUCGGUAAGAAUCAAUCUGCUGCUACAGACCAACCGUUGAUGGUCUUCAUCUAUCUCUGCAUCUUUGUUUCCUCAGGAAACCACUGCAUGUUGUGUUAACCCUCAAAUGAUACAGCUGAAGCACGAACAGUAAAACUGUGCCUCAAGCACAAAAGCAGCUAAGGAAUCUCUGUGGGGUCCAGUAAUUAGGGGAAGGAAGAACAGCAAAUAAUACUCUGCAAGAAAUAGCUUGGAAAAGUUCUUAUGCGGAGCUCUGUAGUGUGAAUGGUAUUCUGUACCUACCCCAGAUGUGUCUGCGCCAUUGGAAAAAAUUCUCUGGUACAAAUGCCUGUCUGGAAAGGUCAAACUUCCUGGUUCAUAUUAGUGAAUGUUUAUUUUAAAAUUAACUUUCCCCAUAUGAUGGUAACUCAAACAUAUGAAAACAUCUUAACUAAACAUUUAUUAAUAUGUGCUGUGAAGCCUGCUAUUUCAAGGGAAAUGUAUGAAUCUCCCAAAGUUUCCCUGCACUGUGCACCCCAGCAUGAAGAGGGAAAAUGACUACCCAGCAUUCUUUCUGUCGUUCCGUGAAGCGCCACAGGUCAAUACCAAGGCCUCCCUCAGAGCCCAACCGGAAAUAGCCUGAUCUACCAAAGCAAUUUGUCAUUAAAAGUCUACAAUUGUAAUUAAUAAUCAAUAGGUGGAUUCUUUUGAAAGGUUAUCAAAAUAGUUCUGUUGGAGUAAAAAAUCUGUUUCUUGCCAAAUAUUCGUUUUAAGUUGAUACUUUACAAAGACCCUUUGGGAACAGGUCUUUAUGGUAUACUUUAGAAUUGUCAGACUUUUAUGUUUCACAUUCAUAACUGUGCAUACAUCUGCGUGUUUUGAAUGGUAUAGGGUUAUACAAAGUUAUUGCUGUCACCAAGUCUAUCAACUUUCCUAGGAUUUAUACCUUGCUUAACUCUCAAUUCAUUUUAGGAGGAUAACAUUCAGGUUUUUUAUAACAUAAAGAAAAGGCAAAUCUAUCUGAUAUUACUUCAUUAAAAAAGGGUGGGAGAGUAUAUAGAAGAGGAGGCAUAUGAACAGAUAUUUGGCAGUUCUUUAGCAUUCUUUAACUGUUUAAGGUCCCAGUACUGCAAAUGCUGACACAUGUGAUUAAUUUAAAGCAUGCGUGCAGUCCCAUUAACAGCGCUGGCGUUCAGUAUGAAAAACUGUCUGACAAAAUGAUGCCCUUUUUCUUAAUCACUAUAUCAUACUUAAAUAGAGGUUUCUGGUUCCAUUGCCAGUAUGUAAAUUCCUAUUUCUGAAUUGCUAUUCUUGUUGACCUAUAAAAUACAAUGCAGGCAUUAACAUCUGAGAAUAUGAAAAUACUCCAUUUACAAUUAUAUUUUAUGUGUAAGCCCUCAGUGGUGGUGGUUUUUAUUUAAUAACAAGUAAACCAAGCCUGUGUAUGGAAAGAAAAGAAAUAGUUUUAUGAUAAAUAAUAAUGAAAGGUUUGUUUUAAUUAACCUUUUAGGCUAAGUACAGACAGUCAAAAAGCCUAAGGCUGAAUCGAUUCAGUCUUUGCAGGUCAGUCUAAGUUGUAGAGGUUAAACUGAGAAACAACUGGACAGACAUUCAGUUUUGAUUCAGGAAUUGCAGCCCCAUGCCUGAAGUAGCUCAGGGCAGAAGCUGGGGGGCACUACAGCAUGGCUCUCUGGCACGUAACCAACAUGAGCUGUAUGUUUGCUUCCUCUUCCUGCUGCCCCCAAGCUCUAUGGGAUUUGCAGUCCAGAAUCACAACAGCAGGACUCUGCAGGGUUGCUCAUCACUUCCUCUUCCUGCUUCCAGGUGACUCUAGGAUUUGUUGCAGCCAGCAGUAAGUUUUUAGCAGGGCAGGGCAACUCUGUAUUUGAGGGAAGGGAAGUUUAAACCCCCUCCCUAGCCCCAGACCCCAGCCAGGGUUUGCUGGGGGAGAGGGGGGGCAGUCCCUGCCUCUUCCCCCUCCCCCUCCCAACCCUUCUCUGCUGGAGCAGACAGCACAGCCAAGCCCAGGGCUGGAAAGCAUGCUGGGAUGUUGAGGGAGUGAUUUAACCUGAACCAGGAAGGGGUCUGGGACAGAAGUUUCAUAAACCAGUUUGACCCAAAUCAGUUAAGUCUGAUACUACAUUCAACCAACUUUAUCUUUAAACCAGUUUCAACCAUUUUGAAACUUGUUUAUGUACAUUGAGCUUCUGUUCUGUUACAGGUUUAAACCAAAUUCUGAUGACUUAAACUGGUUUAUGUGUAACUUCUGUCCCUAGCCUUAAAAACAGAGCUUGAUUAGCAUGUGUGCAGUAACACAUCGGUGUUUCAUGUGAAGAACUCCAGAUGAAAAUCACAAGUUCAGCGAGACUGACAGACAUAUUUAGUUGUGUUUGAGUAAUGUGUGUUGUUAGGGUGUCCCCUUGUGGCACUGUUGAGGGGGAUUUUUUUUGCUAGGUGGGUGGGGUGGUUUGAUAGGACUUACGUUGCAGCCUAAUUGCAUCUAUUUAAAAGCUAAAUAAAGAAUCCCUGAGGCACUGGGACUCUCCAGAAAAAAACAUGGAGGGGCAGGCAAUACCUCAAGAUUUUCCUCCCAGAAUACUUCUGAAUUCUGCUGGCAAGUGUUGCUUCUGGCGAACACUGCUGCUGGUGGAAGCAGGAGACUGUUGUAAAAGCCAGCAGAUCCUGUGAGAUCUGCAUGGAGGUCAGGGGUAUCUGAAAGGAGGCCUCGCACCACCACAUUGUUUGCAGCUCUCUGCAUGGCUCCUAUGGAGAGACAGGCCGUGCUUUUUUUGCACCCUGAUGCCAAGUUAGCACCUCCUUGAAGUAGCUUUCCCUCUCAGGAGUUAAUACAAGCUGCAGAAAGAGGAUACCCAGUCUUGAUACAUGCCUGAUGAGACCUCACCAAAGAUCUAGGAGAAAAAGGAUUCCUAGUACCUGAUGUGCACGCUUUUAGGAGUGUGCAAAGCGGUCCAUAUUCGAUUCGGAUUCGGCCUAGUUCAGGGGGCAGUGAUUUGAUUUGCUGGUUCAGAUCACUGUCCCAAUUCGUUUCGGCCAAAUCUGAAGAUUCAAUUCUGAUUUGGAGAAUCAGCAUUUCGACCAUAGACACAGCUUUAUAUUAGUGUGAUGUGAGAUUUCAGUGGGUGUUUCAUUUUGAAGCUGUUUCCACGCGUUUGGAGCUCGAAACAGCGAAAUCGAAAUAGCUAAAUCGAAAUGAAAUGAAAGGCUUUGAAACAGCUUUGAAACGAAAUGAGGGCACUCAAAAUGUUUCAAAAGCUUUGAAACGUUUUGAGUUUUGAAACCCAGGCUUGCUUGCAGCUGAACAGAAACUAGGGAGAGAGGGGGAAGGACUGAUCCAAUAUUUACACGUGUAGCUGGCCAGUGACUGAUCCUUCCCUGAGGUCUCUUCCAAUCCUGGUGCUCUGGGGGAGGGAUGGAAAAACUGCAUAAAAAGCAUUGUUUGAACUGAGCUUUCUCUGGGCCUUGGGGUCAGCUUACUGAGCUGUGUCUUUCAGCAGCAUCAGCACCUAUGCACCUAUCUCCUUGAAACCCAGCAGGCUUCAUGGCUUCAGCAGGGGCUGCCAUGCCUGCUGUUUUCACCCCGUUACACCUUAACACACACGCAUGACACAAGUUUUGCUUGUCAGCACUUCGAGGUGCAGUUUCCCAGAAACCCUUGCACCUAUCUCCUUGAAGCUUGGCAGGCUUCGUGGCCUCAGCAGGGGCUACCAUCCCUGAUGUUUUCAUUCAAAUCAGGAAAGAAAUGUCAAAGUUAUAGGCACUUUCAUGAUUCCCCAUUAUAGCCUCUGGGCAAAACGUCAAAAUGCAUUGAAACGCGAGGAAAAAGCAAAAUUGUUUAAAUGAAACAAAACUAAACAAUGCUUCAAAACAGUGAAAUGAAACAUUGUCCCUUCAAAAUGGCGAAAUGGAAGUUGAAAUGAAACGGUGCUGUUUCGCACAGCCCUACUUUAUAUGUUUUUUCUACAUACCUUGAGGUAGGUACCAGGCGCGGCUCGUGAACGCUGUGAUGGUGGGGCAGAUGGAGCAUCCCACAGGAGCAUGGGAUGGCCCCCUGCAUGCUUGGUGGUGGGCCCCCCCCACCCCUGCGCCCUCCCAGCUUGGCAAUCGGCUUUGGGGGGACCCCGGGUGUCCCCCCAGACCCAGGAGGCACCAGUUGCCAACCUGGGGAAUGGGUGAGGUCCCCUGCGUGCUUUGUGGUGGACCUGGAAGUGGACCAGAAGUGCUUCUGUUCCACUUCCAGAUCUGCUGCCGAGCACAUAGGGGACCCCCUGCGCUCCCAUGGGAUGCUCUAUCCACCCCACCAUCUCAGCAUUCAUGAGCUGUGUCUGGUACCUUGAGGUAUGUAGAAAAAACAUAUAAAGCUGUCUAUGGCCAAAUCAUUGAGUCUUCCCAAAUCAAUUCGGAGGCUUUUGAUUCAAUUUGGAGAGAUUAAUUCCUGAUUCGAUUUGGAUUCAGAGAUUCAGCUGCCAGAUCAGGCCGAGUCUCCUCCGAAUUGAAUCAGCGACUGAAGCCUCACACAGCCCUACAAGCUGUGUGCGAGCCUCGAGGUAAAUGUCCUCCCUCUUUCUCCCCCUACCCGGUGAUGGGCACGUUGCAGUGGUUUAGGUACACAACAGCACAGGGGAAAUGUGCAUAAAAUGUAUUUUCAUUGAAUGACAUUUUUCAAUACUCCUGUGACCAUUUCAGUUAACAAGGUUGAAGCCUUAUUUUCACAUCCUACAUAAGACUAACCUAUUUGCUGUCUAGGCUCAAAAUGUUGGUGAUCAAAAUACUGACUCAGGCAGCAAUAUCUUUCAGCCCGGUGAAAGCAUAAUGAAUGCAAAAUUAAGCUUGAAUUAAAAUUGUUUUUCACAGAGCAUUUACAAGGAAAGGUUGAAGCCCAGGGUAACAUCUUGGAUCUACUGAAUCUAUGAUUUUUGUCCUUGACUUCAUUGGAGCCCGGAUUUGACCGGAGGUUUUCCUUCAAGGUAAUGAGGAUUUCUUCCAUUGUUCAUUGAAUGAACAAAAGUGAGUGCUCUGUUGUUCUUAUUCAGCUAGUUAUGCAGCAUGCCAAGACAGAUUCUUAUCUGAUGACAUACAGCUGCUCCUCCAUUUGCUGUAUCCUGCCAGUGCAUAUUUCUGUGGACUGUUUCCGGUCUCAAAUGUGUGAAUAGAUUUUUAAAAUGGUCACUCACAGUAUGUUUCCUUGUGAAAUACUCUGUGGACAGUAAGCAAAUAGGGCUAGAGCCAAAAAAUUGUCAGUCUUUGGUUCCAAAAUUCAUUUAUAGCCACUGAGCAGAAAGAUGCUUUAGAGGUCAGGUGUACUGCACCAAAAUAGACAACCUCUGUGGUUUGUGUAGUUGACUGUAUAAAGUGUAAUUGGCUGAAGUACGUGCAAAGAAGUAUCUGGUGUGACAUAUGUGCCUGCCAGCUACAGGUGAUAUUCAAGGUUAACAAUAAAAAUGUUCCUCUUUUGUGUGGUCAAGUUGCCUGCUGUGCUACUGCCACCUGGAAACAGAGGAAAUGUCUGCUGGAGUGAAAAGGCACUAGGGUGUCAAUCUGUCCAGAGCAGGCUGUAUCGUUAAAAAUGUCAUUGCAGUUUAUCUCACUAAAUGCCAAAUAGAGAUUUGCAACAAUGCCACAAGGGGACACCCUAACAACACACAUUACUCAAGCACAACUAAAUAUACCUAGAGAUGUGUGGUGUGGGGAAAAAAAGAAAGAAAGAAAGAAAAAUGGCAUAUCCUAAACAGGAUGGAGUAUUUGCAAACACAGAAUGAAAAUGCUUGUAACAAUUGCCUAUGGAUUGGGAAGAAGGGAAAUUGUAAGGCUGAUUUUCAGAUUUCUUUUACUUUUUUGAAGUGAGUCCAUCUUAUGCUUUCCUGUUUCUCAGCAUUUUAGUAAACGGCGAAAGCAGCAGUCAGAAUGUGCUUCUGGCCCAUGUAGUAAAUGCCACAUUAAUGGAAAUAGCAAAACAAACUGCUGCUAAUCAGCAUAUAUUCUACUAUUUCAGUGCAGUAUCAGUGUUGCAGAAACUUGCAAUAUGGCCCACCAACAGCAGCAGGCCCAUCAGUUAUCCUUUCUUACUGAGGCAACUAUUUAAAGCCUUGAUUCAACAAGGCUUUUCCUUUUUGGAAACCACAAUCAAUAUCUGAGAUGGCAAAAUUUAAACCACCAUAUACAAGAAAGCCCCAGAUGAAACAUACAUAUCUAUACAGACCCAGUGAUCACCCUAAAUGCACCAAGAAAGCUAUAAUUUGCAGCCAAGCUCUCCGAUACCACCGAAUUUGCAAGGAGCAUACCCAUAAUCGCCACCUCACAAAUCUCAAAAGGGCCUUCAGCCAACAAGGACACUCCUCAAAAGAGAGAGAUCGCACUUUUGAAAGAGCCACCCAGAGACCAUGAGAAGAUUUGCUGCAGUACAAAAAGAAAAUCCCCACAAAUUGCACACCAUUAGUUAUGACAUAUCAUCCUUCCCUGGAACCUACACGGAAAAUCUUCAAACAAUUGCAAGCCAUGCUAGAAGAAGACCCCAUUCUUAAAGAGAUCUUCCCAGAACCACCCAUCCUAGCUUUUAAACAAGCACCAAACCUCACUAACCUCAUCACCAGAAGUAAACUCCCUAUGACCCAAACCACAGCUAAUGGAUCCAGACUGCCAGGACAAAAAAAUGCAAAACCUGCCAACAUAUAUCCACCACCCCCACAAUUACUACACCCCACAACAGAACCAUCACCAUUCCUGGAUCUUACACCUGCAGCUCCAGAAAUAUGCUGUAUCUCAUCCAGUGCACCAAAUGCCCUGAUGGAAAAUAUGCAGGAGAAACCAAACAACAACUGCGCACCAGAAUGAACGCACACCCAAAAACCAAUCAAAGACAGCAAUACCCAACUACCUGUUGGUGCCCACUUCUCGCAGGACAAUCACUCCCUCUCUGAUCUCAGUUCUAACCCUCAAAGGGAACUUACAAAAUACCUUUUGUAGAUGAGCCUAUGAACUUUCUAUAUAUAAAAGGCUUAGUCUGUC